rnacentral:tRNA from 1 species
CGCUGUAGCUCAACUGGUAGAGCAUCUGACUUGUAAUCAGAGGGUUGGGGGUUCAAGUCCUCUCGGCGG